CAAUCCAUAGGAAUUUCAUAGGAUUCCAUAAGAUCCAUUCCUUUGAUUCAAAGGGCUAUAUAGGAAAAAUUCCUAUAGGAAAGAAAUCCUCUAAAAUUCCUAUGAAUUUCCUUUGAAUCAAAGGGUGCCUUAUAGUGUUAGAAUAUGUUAUAUUCAAUUCUAAAUUCGUUUUUCGGACCGAGGAAGUAUAUUUUAGGAUGAAAUGCUUAUAUUUUAGGACUGAGUGAGGGGGUAAUUAAUUAUCUAAGGCUGUGUUUAGUACAGCGCAAAGUUUGAAUUUUGGUUGAAAUUGGAGAUGAUGUGACUGAAAAGUUGUGUGUAAACACAGCCUAAUUAAAUUGGUGUAAUUAGGAGGGUCAAAAUGUGGUUGGUUGCGAAAGGGAUGGGAAAGACAGGGUUGUGAAAAGUGAGGCGAGAGAGGAUAAGCUUUGGAGAGGAGAUAGAUGGAGAGAUAAUGAGUGAGAUCGAAACCAGGGUCACGUCGUUGGACCAGCGCAGCAGCAGUACAUGAUCUUAUCCGUUUCGUUCACUGUCGGUUUAGCUCAAGCUGCAGCCGCUGAGUCAUCAGAUUAUUUAUUAGUAAUUAUUAAGCGAGCGAUUGAUUUGAUUUAAUUGGAGGUGUUAGUACGGGUUGGAACGCUGCUAAUUGUCUCGGUAUUCUGUCUUGGUUCGCGAGAGCGAUCGGUAAGUCUCAGUCGGCACGGGUUGUGGUGAGGACGUUUUUCUCUUCCUUUUCUUUCGCCCUUCAGGCACAGGCAGGAGUGCGACCUGCUUGGCACAGCAGAAACGGCAACUUGUGAAGAAAUGAUUGGUGCCAGAAGAGUAGACGACGAACAGUGAAAUUAUCAAGCAACACAACAUAAAUUGGACGUUGUCUAACGGCUGAUAAUCUGAGCAAACGCGCUAUGCAUGAUCAGCAACGAAGACUCUGGGCAUCUCUUUAUUUCCUGCCCUUGCACUUCCAGUCUAGAGGAUGAUCAAGGGAUGGACAUGAAUCGGCUUCCAACUGUGGGCAGAAGCGCGAAUGGAAUUGGGAGAAUGGUGGCUCACGGCGCGGCAAGGGUUUCAGACCAGCUUACAGGGAUGCAUGCUUUCUACACUCUUGUGCUGCUUGUCUAUUGGAUGGUUUGGAAGAAGAGAAAUAUACGUGUUUUCCAAAGUCAGAGUCAAGCAGCGGGCAUCCUCUUUACCUUGAUUAAAGAGGAGGUCGUGGUCUGGAAAGAAUAUGGGGUUUCCAAAUAUUUAGGAGAGUAGCGCCUUGUUGUAUCUUGUUUUCAUUUUAGGAAGUUGCUCAUAUGGCAACAUCCAUUCACUUCAUCAUCUUAUUGUCGAAGUUUGAACUCUGUAAAUGUGUACAUACCCCUUUUUUAAGUAAAUUUGGUCUGUUUGUCUUA